CAAAUGUUUCUUUAUUUCAAAAACGGAAAAGAUUUUCUGACGUGUGCAUUGCAUGAGAAGCCCUUGUCGUGUGAAGAAGUUUACGCUAAUCUCCACUGUUCUUAAAAGGAUGUCGAAACACGGUUUCGAUUUAGUUUGGAAACUGAUUCUGGUUUUUCUGACAGUUACUGCGCAGUGUGCUUCUUACUGCUAUUACUACUACAGUUAUACCUACUAUACCACAAGGCAGCUAUGUUACUAUUACUACUACUAUUACUACUACGACUCGGAUAGUUCGGCUGGAGCGAUAGCUGGCGGAGUUAUUGGGGGCAUCGUUGCGCUGGCCGUUAUUUGCACCAUUGUUAUUUGUGUGUGUGUCAAAGUCUGCAAAACACAAAACCAUGGUCAAGUCUUGGUGUACCCUCAACAGCCUGCGGUCUAUACCAGUUCAACUACACAACAAGGAUAUCCGCAGCCCCCAGCUCCUGUCUACCCCUAUCCGCCACCAACUUAUUCGAGCGGACAGCAAGUUUUCUCCUAUAGCGGAUAGGAUGUUCAUCAAAAAAAGUUAUCAGCUACUAAUGACAGUAUCUAAUUAGUACUUAACUAUCUGACAAACAGAAUAUGCCAGUAUGAAAUAUAAUUACAGUGUAAGUUAACUCACAGAAGAUGUUUGUUAAGAUUUUAGGUAGUUCACUAUCGUCAUUUGUUGCAUUGCAUUGACCUUUGUUUGAUAUCAAGUUCAUUCACUAGUUUUUUUCCUUGUCCAAAAUCUACUGCAUACUGUUUCCAUAACAUUAGACUAACCUAGCUAGUGGUUUAUGACAUUGUUAUGAUAGCCUUGAGUUUUAUGAGAAAAGUUUGGGGAAAAAAUUCAUAUGCAACAUUUCUAUCAUGGUUUUGAUUAUCAAUAUAUUGUAUGAUAUUUAUAUCUUAAAGUGUUUUUUUUAUUGAAUACAUCUGUCAUUGAUGACAGUUUGUUCUUAUUAAAUAUAUGAUAAAACAUUAAAGCUGCUUGGUCCGAUUUAUUUGUUAUUACAGUAUCAAAUUUUUUUUCCACACAAACCAUUUAUCUUAGAAAGUUAUGGACUUUCUCCUAUUUACACCAGCAGAAUCAGUCUCCUUUCAAAGUCAGAAAUAUUCAAAGUAAAUAAAAAUAAUUUCGUUUUGGGCAAACGGAAAAACAAACCAAAUGCAUCACGGGAAUGUUUAGAAACCGAAUGAUUGGCGUCAUUCAACCCGCAUGCUAUGCAUCGAUUGUAAAGAAAGAAAACUUCAGAAAUAUUAGCGAACAAAACGCAUACAUGUUUAUUUUAAUUUGUCUGAUAAUUUCGACCUUUAUUCACAGCGAUGACAGAGUCGUAAUACAACCAUAUCCGUCUCGCCGUCAGGGAGGAAAUUUAAUAUGAGGCGAAAUAACGCGGUACCCUUUUAUGUCGUUUGUUUUGUUUAGCAAAUUUUGUACGAAUUUUUCUUCAUUGAAAUUUGGCUUAAUUGACUGGGAAAACUACUGCAAUGUCUAUUAUUAUACAUAUACUUAGCAUAACCAUCGUUUAAAAGCGUGCAUAAAAUUUGAUAUAAAAUCGGACCAAGCAGCUUAAAAUAAAAUUGAUAAAAACCGAUUACUUUUUAUCUUAUUGUAUUCAUCUGUCAUUGAUAGGUAGAGUUUAUUGACAGUUUGUUGUUGUUGUGAAAUAAAUAAUAAAAUAUUCAAUGACAUUGAUAAAGAACGAUUUCAUAAUUAAUUGCAAACUUACAAUGGUCUAAAACUAAGCGAUCUCGUCAUUUAUAACACAAUUACCGUUGUUGUAAUUAUACUUUAUUUCGUUUGACCAAGAUAAAUGCAUCUGGGCUGAAAAACGACUUUCUAAAAUCCGAAAAUACCGUCAAUGUAUAUUUAAUGGUUGAAAUUGUUUUCGUUGCACCUAUAAAACAUUAGAAUUAUAAGUCGUAAAGACAUGGAGAUUUAAUUUCGAAAUACACGAGAGUUAAAUGAACUGCUAAACGUACCACCUCCUCUAAUCUUCACUGUCAUUGUGAAAAUUUACAGGGAAACGCCUACUUAUUUUAUUAUGUCUAUUGCGUAACUGUAGCAAUGUACAUAUUUUUGACAUGCAUUGUUGCUUUGUUUUGUGUAUUGUCAAGCUAUGAUUAUAAACAGGUAACGUGAAAUGUACAUUUCAUAAUUUUCGGGUUAUUCACGACUUGAGCAAGUAUGGAAGAUUCCAAAGUCUUCAGAUUGUUCAUAACAAUUUGUGAGUAUUUGACCUGUAAUAAUGCCAAAAAGGUAAACUGUAAUAAUGCCAAUAAGGUAAUUCAAUCAUUAAUAAAAGUUAUUUAUUUAUUUUUAGUAUACACUCUUCAUUCUUACUUGGAUGUUAAUACAUGUACAAUACAAGCCAAAUUAUUCUGUUUUUACAUUAAUAUUAAAAAAAAAUUAUAAGGUAGAAAAAUACAUGCAAAUUUAUUAAAUCUUAUCAAUUAAAACAGUAAUGACUAAGUUAAACUGUUUACAGUUAUGGUGACAGUUCCCGCACAGUCUGCUUAUUACUGUUAUUACUACUACAAUAGCUACUACUCAUCUAGAAGACAGCUCUGUUACUACUACUACGACUAUUACUAUAACGACUCCUCUCAGUCCCCAUUUAGUCCUUCCGCUGGGGUUAUAGCUGGAUCCGUCAUUGGAGGCAUCGUUGGUAUCGUCAUUAUCUGUGCCGUCGUUAGUUGGGUGUGUGUCAGAAUCUGUCAAUCACACAACCAUGCUCAGGUAUUGGUGUACCCUCAACAGCCCGCAGUCUAUACCACUUCAAAUACACAACGAGAGUACCAACGAACCUAUGUUCGGGCUUCUUCGCCAUAAACUUAUUCGGGCGGACGGCAAGUCUUCGCAUGUAUCGGAAUUAUUGUUUCGAGAGAAGAUGUUAACAUGUGCAUCUGCUUGAAAAUAAGAUAUUGACACACAUUAUAUUCAUAAAUGAAAUCAUAUGUAAAGUGAAAUACGUAUAGUAUAAAUCAAAAUAGCAGAUCGCAUUGUUUUAUAUGAUGAAUCAAUCUUUCUUCUUUAAAUUUCAGAUGUAUAUAAUUUAUUACUUUUGUUUAUCUAAAUCUAGAACUGUUGUGUUGUACUUUUUUCACGUUUCGGAUACCCAGUUGUUUAAAAAAAUUGAAAUGCUUUAAAAGUCAUGUUAUUUUCAUGAGUGAAGGUAUGUUAAAUAAAAAGUAUACCUGA